rnacentral:lncRNA from 1 species
GCCUGAGGAGACAGCUGGGUGAGGAGCCCAAGGUGCUGAGGAGCACCAGCUGCCGGCAGAGGCUGCUGCUGUCCUGGGUCAUCACUGCCUGCUCCUCUGAACGUUGUCCACUUCAGAGUAACAAAUCUGUUGUGUUAGCCCUCACAAAGGAGAACUUCCUCACUCAAGGCCAAUGCUGCUUGUGCUGCUCUGGACAAGAGGCACAGAGCCUUUGGUAAGAUGCUAAAGGAAUGGCAAAACAAGGGCAAAGAGCUGCAGGUUGAAGUAAAUUCACAGAAAUGUACACAACUGAAAAUGUGCAGAGCUUGAAGCUGCCUAUGAAGAAUCCUUGGAGCACCUGGAAUCUAUGAAGAAGGAGAACAAGGCCCUUAA